UUACGGCCAUAUCGCGUUCAAACACCGGUUCUCGUACGAUCACUGAAGUUAAGCAACGUCGAGCUUAGUCAGUAACUAAAUGGGUGGCCGCUUGGGAAUACCAGACACUGUA